AUUGAACGCUGGCGGCAUGCCUUACACAUGCAAGUCGAACGGCAGCACGGGAGCAAUCCUGGUGGCGAGCGGCGAACGGGUGAGUAAUAUAUCGGAACGUGCCCAGUCGUGGGGGAUAACGCAGCGAAAGCUGUGCUAAUACCACAUACGAUCUAAGGAUGAAAGCGGGGGAUCGCAAGACCUCGCGCGAUUGGAGCGGCCGAUAUCAGAUUAGCUAGUUGGUGGGGUAAAGGCCCACCAAGGCGACGAUCUGUAGCUAGUCUGAGAGGACGACCAGCCACACUGGAACUGAGACACGGUCCAGACUCCUACGGGAGGCAGCAGUGGGGAAUUUUGGACAAUGGGCGCAAGCCUGAUCCAGCAAUGCCGCGUGCAGGAUGAAGGCCUUCGGGUUGUAAACUGCUUUUGUACGGAACGAAACGGCCCUUUCUAAUACAGGGGGCUAAUGACGGUACCGUAAGAAUAAGCACCGGCUAACUACGUGCCAGCCGCCGCCGUAA
rnacentral:rRNA from 1 species